rnacentral:tmRNA from 1 species
GGGGGCGAUAGGACUCGACGGGGGUUAUGAGGCUCAAGUUGCAUGCCGUGGCUCCGUCACCACGUAAAAAGAUGGAAAAAAACACAAACGCCAAUAACGAACUGGCAAUCGCUGCUUAGGCAGCACGCUCCUCUGAAGAUGUCUGCGCUUUAGAGUACAGCGUCAUAUAGCAGGCUGCCGCCGGGUGACUCCCUUAAAUCCGGCGAAAGAUUAAGGGAUGGGAUGUCGGCAGGCCCGUCAGCCGGCAAUCCGGCAUUCGAGAUUAAAUAGGCUGAAUACGCAUGUAGAUGCUUGGGAGUAGUGCUUUCGGACGCGGGUUCGAUUCCCGCCGCCUCCACCA